AAUCGCGAGUGGCGCACGGUUCUGCCGUCCCUCCGCUCUGCCGCGCUCCCUCCGUCACCCUCCGUGCUGCAUCAACGCCCGCGGGUUCUCUCUCUCCCUCUCACUGCGCCGCCUUCCCCCGCCUCACCCCUCCCCCGCGCCCCUUCCCCCGCCGUGGAUCUCGCCCGAAGGCGACGCGGAUCCACCGUACCCCCGCCCUGGCGCCUCGGUUCUCCGCCAUGGACGCCCUGGAUCCACCUCCUCCUCCUUCUCUCCCCUCACUGCGCCGCCUGCCCCCGCCGCACACCUCCACCGCGCCUCUUCCCCGCCGUGGAUCUCGCCCGGUGAAGCAUGCCCCCGCCCCCGUCCUCGCUCCCCUCGUGCAUGCGGCACCGUAAUCUCCUCCCCCAUUCCCGAUCCGAAAUCUCCUCGCCUACCCGACCGUGAUCUCCUCCCCCAUCCCCGAUCCGAGCCCUAGCUCCCCUCGUGCAACCGAAAUCUCCUCGCCCACCCGAUGGCGUGUGCGCGCGAUCCACUCCCCCCACCCUAAUACCCUAUAUCUCCCUGGAAGGUCGAUCCUCGCGAUCCAAUCCCCUCGAUCUGCCGCGCCCAAUCUCUCUCCGGAAUGUCGAUCCGCGCGAUCCACUCCCCCCAUCCGCUUCACCUCCAUGGAAGUACCUGAUGUGCCGCUCCAAUCUUUGCAUCGGGUCGAUGCUCCCUGGAGUCCCCGUACGCGCGAUUUACUACCCCCCUCCCCCCGAUCUGUCGCUCACAAUCUCUCCCUGGAAGACCGAUCUGCAUCGCGUGGACGCUCCAUGGAGUCCCCAUACAUGCGAUUUACUCCCUCCCCAAAGUCUCACGCCCCACCCGAUCGGCCUCGCCCGCGCAAUCCACGCGUCCUAACCUUCAAUCAAGGCUCCAGGGCAAGGUUUCCAUCGACGACAUUAUUGAGGCGAUAAAAUGGCAUGCGUUGGUGAGGCACCAACUCCCAUCCUUCUCGGCGCUCUCCCAGGAAGACUACAGCCAGGGUCCAAUUUUGUGAAAGGAAUGCUUUUGCUCCCCUUGCCUUUUCGGAUCAAAAUCUUGGUGUUGACUGCUAAUGCAGUUUUGGAUUGUUGGUAGGGUCCAAUUUUGUGAAAGGAAUGUUGAACUGUUGAUGAGUGAUGAGGGGCAAUGAUGCUCAGCCUUUUCCAAAAUGCAUGGCACUGAGCAAUGAAGGCUGCUACAAGUGUCUACUUUGAGCUAACCCUCUCCCCACAUGAAGCCUAUUUUAAUCACCCCUUUUUGGUUUGUGGUUGUGCCUAGGAUGGUCAUUCGGAUAUGUGACAACCAGCACAGUUCCACUUACAUUGAGGUGAUUAGGUGGUGCUGCAAGAGAAGUGAGAAGUCGGUUUGCAUGGUAGAAUAAGGGUGAUUCUGAGCCUUUUUUGUGUUUUACAGACUUAUCACUUGUCUGUUCUCAUAGUGUUGCUAUUUGUAUUUUAUUUCUGAAAAAUUUUACGGGUUGCUUGCCUAAGUAAGUCUUCAUAAACAUUUAAGUGGUGUGUACUUUUGGAUUGUUGGCAGGGUCUGAUUUUGUGAAAGGAAUGCUUUUGUUCCCCUUGCCUUUUCGGAUCGAAAUCUUGGUGUUGACUGCUAAUGCAGUUUUAGAUUGUUGGUAGGGUCCAAUUUUUUGAAAGGAAUGUUGAACUGCUGAUGAGUGAUGAGGGGCGAUGAUGCUCAACCUUUUCCAAAAUGCAUGGCACUGAUCAAUGAAGGCUGCUACAAGUGUCUACUUUGAGCUAACCCUCUCCCCACAUGAAGCCUAUUUUAAUCACCCCUUUUUGGUUUGUGGUUGUGCCUAGGAUGGUCAUUCAGAUAUGUGACAACCAGCACAGCUCCACUUACAUUGAGGUGAUUAGGUGGUGCUGCAAGAAAAGUGAGAAGUCGGUUUGCAUGGUAGAAUAAGGGUGAUGCUGAGUCCUUUUUUGUUUUAUGUUAUGAUGCUUUUUGUCCUAUAUUUUUUAUUUUGUAGUAACUCUUGAGUGGCUAUGAUGGUUUAAAUUUCCAUGGUAAAGCUGCGCUCUAAAGGGUACAAUUUCCCACUUCUAGAUCUGAUCAUUGUCCCAGUUUUAAACUGAUCAUUGUCCCUCCAAGUACCCAGUUCUGCUCAUGGGAUGUACAACAUUUCUUUUGGUCAUGAUAUUGGAAAUGUUGAUCUGACUAUCUAAGUAAACAUGUCAGCAAGUCACAUGGGCAACUACCUUGUUAACAACAAUCAGCCAAGCAGAGGGAAGUAUGCUUCAUGGGCGCUCCCGGUCGACCGAUGUGGAGGGCAGGGUCGGAGCGUGCAGACUCUGCUCUCGCUCACCGUGAAACAGACCAUGGACGCGGCGCAAGCCAGCGGUGAUAGGUCUAAUUUCGCCAUCAACGACGUUGAGGUGUCUACGUCUCUACGGAAUAUGAUUAGUACUCUCAACUACCGAGGGAGGCCAGAUUGACAUCAUCCUAGCUGAGGUUGAACGAUGGUGUGGUGUUCACCAUGAAGAGCUUACAAGGAGCUCAAGAUCUUGUAAAAGAAACUUAUUCACUAUUACAAUGGAAUGAGAACCGCACUUACACUAGGGAGCUUGUCGAACGCACUUGGACGUCAGCCGAGUGCAAGGUGCAGGGUCAGCUCUAAGGGCAAGCCGACAUUAUCAUUGACGAGAAAAAAUGACCCCUUUUCUGCCACUCAUCCAUCAUGACAUCAAGCAAAAAGAUAAGCACUGAACCAUUGCAAACCAAAUUUCUGAAUGCCGGCAUUAUCAUUGACGAGAAAAAUGGUCCCUUUUCUGCCACUCAUCGAUCAUGACAUCACCAAUGAGAUACCGAGUCACCUUCAAAGAAAGCAAUAGGUUGCAUUUGCGUCGUUUCGUGAUUCAUCAUCUAUUUGAACAUAGACAUAAAAAUCAAGAGCUGAAAGCCGGCGACGGUGGCAUGCCAAGUAGAGGGGAGGAACUGUUGUGAAGAGCGGCGGUGGUGAGUGGUGAUGCUGUGAACUGAGCUAUGCGUAUCACUCAUGAUGAGAAAAGGAUCCAUGCAAAGUCUUCGUGAUAAUGGCUUCUGGCCUUCUAGAAUAUUUACCACCUGCGGCCAAGCGUGUGAAAAUUCCUCGGAAAGAUUGGCAAGCUGAAUGACCGAAGGGGAUAAGAUCAUUGACCGUGUGCGCAAGUCUGGUUGCUCUCUCAGGUGUCCCUAUCAGGGCUUAGAAAGGACGUGUUUGGACGAACUCAGGGAGAACUACAUAAUGACGAUUAAGUGACGGGUUUUUUUAAGAAGGGUUUACUGAUGACUUGUUUACAUGCAGCUUUCGGCUCCAGGACUUGGGUUUGGUAAGCUGUUUCUCUGUUAAGUCUGCUAUUAGUGGAUUGCCUGCUAUGGGGGGUGCAGAUCCAAUGCACCGAAUGAUCAACAGAACCACAUCGGCCUGGUUUGGUAACACCGAAAGUCGCGUCCUCUAUUUACGAUGUUGGAAAGUCGUUGCCAUUGUUUAAGUUCAUCGUUAUCACUAACUGUUGCGUGCUCGAGCCAUGUGCGCCUGAUGUCCGAAGCUGCGCCGAGUGUCGCUUUAUCUUCGUACGUUGCUCCGUAUCGAGUUCGCCCGCGUAGUGAUCUUCUCCCUGUCGUGCUUGUCGUCGCUACGUCGUGGUAAAAAGAUUAGAUUAGUGUAUGGUUGUCGACAUAUUUGUGUGUCAUUACAAAAUUCUAAAUUGAAUCUUUAGAAAUAAUUUGUGUAAUAUUGAUAAUGUUUACCAUACGAAUUUUACAUAUCAUAGUGAUAUUUGUCGUUCCAUUUAUAUAUUUCUUACAAU